UGAAGGAUAACGUUGCGUCAGCAACGGCCCGAAGGGCGAGGCGAAGCCGAGUCAUCCUGCACGACCCACCA
rnacentral:sRNA from 1 species